rnacentral:rRNA from 1 species
ACNUNAUUUNNUAAGGGGGUGAAUUCCAGGGUAACNGUNAANNCGNANANUNNGAGAANACCGGGGGGAAGGGGCCCCCUGGACGAAGACUGACCUCAGGUNGAAAGCNUNGGNGCAANCAGGAUUAGAUACCCUNNUANUCCNCNCCGUAAACGAUNUCGACNUGGAGGUUGUGCCCUUGAGGGGGGCUUCCGGAGCUAACGCGUUAAGUCGACCNCNUNGGGAGUACGGCCGCAAGGUUAAAACUCAAAUGANUGACGGGGGCCCGCACAAGCGGUGGAGCAUGUGGUUUUAAUUCGAUGCAACGCGAAGAACCUUACCUGGUCUUGACAUCCACAGAACUUUUCAGAGAUGGAUNGGUGCCUUCGGGAACUGUGAGACAGGUGCUGCAUGGCUGUCGUCAGCUCGUGUUGUGAAAUGUUGGGUUAAGUCCCGCAACGAGCGCAACCCUUAUCCUUUGUUGCCAGCGGUCCGGCCGGGAACUCAAAGGAGACUGCCAGUGAUAAACUGGAGGAAGGUGGGGAUGACGUCAAGUCAUCAUGGCCCUUACGACCAGGGCUACACACGUGCUACAAUGGCGCAUACAAAGAGAAGCGACCUCGCGAGAGCAAGCGGACCUCAUAAAGUGCGUCGUAGUCCGGAUUGGAGUCUGCAACUCGACUCCAUGAAGUCGGAAUCGCUAGUAAUCGUGGAUCAGAAUGCCACGGUGAAUACGUUCCCGGGCCUUGUACACACCGCCCGUCACACCAUGGGAGUGGGUUNCAAAAGAAGUAGGUAGNUUAACCNUCGGGAGGGCNCUACGCACNUNNGAUCAUAC